GUGCUCUCUUCAACAUCACAUAUACUAAAAUUGGAACUAUACUGAGAAGCUCAUGGCCCCUGUGUAAGUAUGAUAUGCAUAUCCAUGAAGCAUUCCAUAUUUUU
rnacentral:snRNA from 1 species